rnacentral:lncRNA from 1 species
AUUGGCUGCCCACCCUCUGAAAAGCGACUGAGUCCUUGAGUCUCCUGGGAUGUUCAUAUGAAUCCCCUUGAAGCUUUAAUUUGAUAAGACCUCAGUGGAGACUGCUGAACCCCUGGGAUUUAACAUCAUAUAUUAUUCAUUGUUGCUGUUGCCACAGACGUGCUGAUUUUGCCCCUGCUGAGCAAGGCACUUCUGCACAUGGGAACUUGAUGGCUAACCACACUGCAUGUUCUUCAGGCAGGGCCUAUCCCAGAACGUUCCAAGCUGUCUGCUAGCAAGUCUGCAUUAACUCCCUCAAUGCUGCAUGCACGGUGUCCCUGAGUCCUUCACCACCCGCCCCGCCACCAGAGCCAGUCUUUUUAAGAAUUUUGCCUGGGCUGUGUUUUUCAAAGUGCCUCUCUCUAGUGUGCAUCUCUUCUUAAUCACAGAAAGCAGAUCUGAGAGCUUCUAAUGCACUUCUCUAUUACUUCAAGAACACUGUGUAUAAUAAUAAACUCUACAGAAAUAAACCAAAUCACAAGAAGCUUUCAGGUCUGGAGGCUGACAUUUCUCAAGACAGGAGCUGCUGCCUUUACAUAAACUACAGACUCUUGCUUACCC